rnacentral:sRNA from 1 species
UUAUGAACAACGCAAAAAUAACCGUCUACGUUUCUUGUUUAAAACAAUCCGGCUCGAGGCACCUGCCGACGACUGUUGGGUUUCCGAGAUUCAUAAGACGAAGAUUGAAGCGAACAAUCUUGGGUGCGGUGUUCCUCGGUCCCAAGUGGCCCAAUGAGGAGGAUCGCAAUGAUUGAACGUACAU